rnacentral:rRNA from 1 species
UAGGUGGCAAGCGUUGUCCGGAAUUAUUGGGCGUAAAGCGCGCGCAGGCGGUCCUUUAAGUCUGAUGUGAAAGCCCACGGCUCAACCGUGGAGGGUCAUUGGAAACUGGGGGACUUGAGUGCAGAAGAGGAAAGCGGAAUUCCACGUGUAGCGGUGAAAUGCGUAGAGAUGUGGAGGAACACCAGUGGCGAAGGCGGCUUUCUGGUCUGUAACUGACGCUGAGGCGCGAAAGCGUGGGGAGCAAACAGG